UACGUAGGGGGCUAGCGUUGUCCGGAAUCAUUGGGCGUAAAGAGCGUGUAGGCGGUCCGGUAAGUCCGUUGUGAAAGUCAGGGGCUCAACCCUUGAAUGCCGGCGGAUACUGUCGGGCUAGAGUCCGGAAGAGGCAAGUGGAAUUCCCGGUGUAGCGGUGAAAUGCGCAGAUAUUGGGAAGAACACCGGAGGCGAAGGCGGAUUGCUGGGCCGACACUGACGCUGAGGCGCGAAAGCCAGGGGAGCAAACGGG
rnacentral:rRNA from 1 species